GACCAUGGUGAAGAUACAAAUUCAAAAGGUCUUUAAAUCUUUCCCAAGCUUGGUACAAAGUCUCACUUUCGUUUUGUGAAAAAAUUGAAAUUUGUCCUUUGACAGC